rfam:Acetohalobium arabaticum DSM 5501, complete genome.
GGGGGUAUAGCUCAGUUGGGAGAGCGCCUGCCUUGCAAGCAGGAGGUCAGCGGUUCGAAUCCGCUUACCUCCA